CCGAGCAGUGGGCGCGGGGGCGCGGUGUCUCCAGGCGGUCGCGGGCUGCCGCUUCCGACUUCUGUGUCCCACCUUCAGGGAUCACAAACUUGGGGUAACACUGGCCCGGCGGGCACAUCCAGCUGUUGGCGUAUGUGAGCGCCAGAGAUGCCGACGAGAAGAGGGCAGCUCCGGGUUUAAUGCGGGCUGGAGACCCUUGGAGUUUCUAUGGCGUCUCGAAUCCAGCGCAGCCGUGGUCCGACGGAGAUCCCUGGGAUUCGAGCCGGCAGGGAUGGUGCGGCCGGACCCUGCCCUAGAUCAGAAAGUCCCGUGCGUCCCCAGCCUUUUCGGGCAGGGUCUCUGAGACAAGAGGUCUCGAGUCCCCGGCGGGGCGGAGCUCUUAGAGGCGCAGGCUUGGUCACCCACCCUACGCGUCCAACCCGGCUUUUGGGGCCACCUCUAGGGCCACACUGAUGGCUGGGCCCAGUUUGCGUGUUUCAGAUGAAAAAUUCACAAGGGACAUGAGAUUACUAUCUCAUGGGGAUCAAACCUCAUGACAGUGGCACAGGAGGAAUUAGAAGCUGUGUUUCCUUUGAGACCUGAAGAUCCAGUUCUAGGUUUUCUGCUGCUCACAAGCUUUGGGCAAAGUACCUACACUUCUCUGAGCCUCAUAAUGGUGAUAAUACUCCUCCCACUUACCUCAUUCAGUUAAUGUAGAGGUCAAAGUCAUACAUGUUUUCUCAGUCAUUUAUUAACUGCUUGAACCAAAAACUGGACCCUAAUGUGUUGCAGAACAACUUGGGCAUUUUUGAAGCACCGUGUAAAAGUAUUAUUAGAAAAGCUUCUCUCAGCCUCCUGAAGUAACCUGCCUCCCAAGCUGCCUUAUUGCUAGGAGAAUCUUCAUCUUCACUUUAUCAUAGCCCAGGGAUGCUGAAGUGGGAUGGAAGAAGGGUAUCUGACCUGGACUGGUGGUCUUGAAACCUUCUGGAAAACUGGAAAGAAGACUUUUUUUUUUUAAACUCCAUGGAGACAAAUGGAUUAAUCAGUUCACAGAUUAUCAUUAUGUUUGGUUGAGAGAGGAAGUCUGGUGACAAAAUGUUCCUUGAAGACAGAGGCCAGUUGUGCUGGUCUCAGCACGCCCCGUGUCUUUUGUGACACCUGAAUGUGAGGAGAUGUUCCUAGCUAAUCUGGAACCGGACCACAGCUUUGGCCCAAUUACAGGAACGAGGACAGUUUCGUGGGGAAUGGGGAAAAGAAGUGAACGAGACAAAGACAGUAAGUCAGGAGAGAUUCUGCGUGUCGGGGCCAAGUUCUUGCUUUAAAUUCAGAGUGCCUGAAGAAAGUCUGGAACCUCACAGGUGGCUGAUAGAAGAAGAGAGGCCAGGUCAUCUGGUAAACGUUGGCCUGUAACACAGUGCAUGGAAGGCUAUUUGGUGCCCAUUCAUCCUCAAGACAUCCACACAUGAGAAUUCACCAGUACAAAAAUGUUUAAGACUUAUUUGAGAAGCUAUCCAAAUGAUGAGUCCAUUUGCAGGCAUUCCUUCUCCCUUUGAAGAAAUCCACAAAAGAAAGAGCAAAAUGCUGACAAGUUUUCAAAGCCGUGAUUUACAGGAAUGAUUUCUGAAAAGCAAGUGGACAACAUCCGAGUUCAUCAUCAAAUAAUAUUUCUAAAGCACCCUCUAGUGCCUGGCCCCAAGCCAGAUGAUUCAAUGCCUGGAGAGGCUGCGAACUUUUUUUUUUUUUUAAAGGAAAAUGGACUGUCAUGUUGGCUCCUGAAAAACAAGUCUGCACCAUUUACGAUUCUUUAGGAUUCUCUCUCUAAAUAAGUAUUAAGAAUGGAUUGCUUCAGAAAAAAAUCAAUGCAGUUAGAAACCCUAAUACUAUUAAAUAUAAUUCAAAUCGCAGUUUAAAAUAGACAUUAAGACUUAAAAGACCAAGUCAAAAAUUACACUGGGAAUCUGAAGAAUUUGAAACCUAAAUAAAUCACAGAGCAGAAAAAUCUGCUCUGUAAGUGAAAAAGUUUUGAGCCCGAGGAAAGGUAAGAACUGCAUGAAUAGAUAGCUGUCAUCUAGUAGGAAUGCUAGGCCCAUCUGCCAUCUGAUUAUGCUGUGACUGUACUAGCCUAUAGUCUUCACUCAGCAGAUUCUCAAGUGGUGUAGUGGCAAGAGUGCAGUAUGUAGAAUCAGAAGACUUGUGGUCCAGGGUCAACUCUACCACAUACUUGGCUAUGUGAUUUGGAACAUGUCACUUAAAAUUUAUGACCCUAGUUUCUUCACAUGUAAGAUAAUUCUGCCAACUUCGUGGAAUUGUCUAGACUUUACAGAUUAAAUAAGAUACCACUGACCAGUUCCUUGAACACAGUACUUGCCAACAAAAUGUCAAUAUUUUUUCUAGUUGUCUGAUCGAUUUUGUAUUCAGCAGUUGUACAAUAUGUGUUCAGUAUGACUCUUGCACAUAUCCCCUCAAAGGAAGUUUCACUCUUCUCCCUUAUCACUCCCACAUUUUUGAGAAUAGGAUCACAUUUUAUAUUACGAUACUGAAGUAGGGGAGUCAAUUCUUGCACAGGCUAGUUGACCUUCAAGAUAAAUGCUUAGUUAUUGAUUGGAUGACUGAUUAAUCAAUUCUUUCAUUCAUUCAUUCAAUUCCCAACUCUAAAUUUAGAAUGGUCCCUUUACUACCUGAGGCCUUAUUAACAAGAUGGACCAGACGUUUCAUCACAUACAAAAGAUCUUUGUAGGCAUGGGAAUAAAGAAUACUGAGUCAUUUUAAGAAGUCACUUUGAAAAUGACUUUUCAACAUAGAAGAACUGGGCUUGUUCAAGCAAAUUAUAUUUCAAAGUUUUAUUUGCAAGGUUAUUUAUUACUAUGUGGAAUCUCAGUCCUGUGGCUAGGGUCAAGGAAAAUGAGGACACAGGUGUCUGCCUAUUUGCACAGGCAUUAAAGAGUGUUGUAAAAUGAGCUUCGGCCUCUUAAGUUACUGUCUUUUCCUUUAUAAUAAUAAUCUCUUCAAUUUUACAAGGUCUAUAUUAUUUUUAGGUAA